rnacentral:lncRNA from 1 species
AUCUCAGACAAGCGAAUCCAUCACUGUUACUGUACAGAUAAGAAAUGGAGGCCAAAUAGGAUUAGCAACUUGCUCAGGACUCCACAGAAAGAGCAGCAACUGGAUGGCACAGAAUGAGUUCUGACGUUUACAUCAGAAGAUGGCCCUGAACCGGAGCCAAAGCUGGCCGAGGAGCUGGGGGAGAUUCUGAGACUCACACUUUCAUUUGUGAAGUGAGAUGCUGACUCUAUUGUUGGUUUUGUUUGGGGGUUUGAUGCUGAAAUAAAGCAAUACACACGAGGAAAUUUACUGGCAUUGUAUUAAAAAACAAAGUUAAUGUAUGAUGAUGCCGUAGAGUGAUUCAUGAAUGGCAUUAUGAAUAUUUUAAAAACACAAAAGGAAUUAAAAGAGUAUACUUGGAUGUUAAUGAAAAUAAAAUUUCAUUGAGAACAAGAAUCUUGGUAAACAUCAG